rnacentral:rRNA from 1 species
AUUGAACGCUGGCGGCAGGCUUAACACAUGCAAGUCGAACGGUAGCAGGAGAAAGCUUGCUUUCUUGCUGACGAGUGGCGGACGGGUGAGUAAUGCUUGGGAAUCUGGCUUAUGGAGGGGGAUAACUACGGGAAACUGUAGCUAAUACCGCGUAAUAUCGAAAGAUUAAAGUGUGGGACCUUCGGGCCACAUGCCAUAAGAUGAGCCCAAGUGGGAUUAGGUAGUUGGUGGGGU